rnacentral:rRNA from 1 species
AUUGAACGCUGGCGGAAUGCUUUACACAUGCAAGUCGAACGGCAGCACGGGUGCUUGCACCUGGUGGCGGGUGGCGGACGGGUGAGUAAUGCAUCGGAACGUGCCGUAUAGUGGGGGAUAACGCAUCGAAAGGUGUGCUAAUACCGCAUACGCCCUGAGGGGGAAAGUGGGGGACCGUAAGGCCUCACGCUAUACGAGCGGCCGAUGUCUGAUUAGCUAGUUGGUGGGGUAAAGGCUCACCAAGGCGACGAUCGGUAGCUGGUCUGAGAGGACGACCAGCCACACUGGGACUGAGACACGGCCCAGACUCCUACGGGAGGCAGCAGUGGGGAAUUUUGGACAAUGGGGGCAACCCUGAUCCAGCCAUUCCGCGUGAGUGAAGAAGGCCUUCGGGUUGUAAAGCUCUUUUGUCAGGGAGGAAAUCCUUAGCGUUAAUACCGUUGGGGGAUGACAGUACCUGAAGAAUAAGGACCGGCUAGCUACGUGCCAGCCGCCGCAGUAA